GUAGGAAAUCUUGUCAAUUUUCCGCAAAACGCGCAAAACUGAAAAGAUUUUCUACAG
rnacentral:pre_miRNA from 1 species